UGGGGAAUAUUGCGCAAUGGGGGAAACCCUGACGCAGCGACGCCGUGUGAGGGAAGAAGGCCUUCGGGUCGUAAACCUCUGUCAGAAGGGAAGAACCGCCGGGAGUCGAAUAGCCUCUCGGUCUGACGGUACCUUCAGAGGAAGCGCCGGCUAACUCCGUGCCAGCAGCCGCGGUAAUACGGAGGGCGCGAGCGUUAAUCGGAAUCACUGGGCGUAAAGCGUGCGUAGGCUGUUUGAUAAGUCAGGCGUGAAAUCCCUCGGCUCAACCGGGGAACUGCGCUUGAUACUGUCGAACUCGAGUCCUGGAGAGGGUGGCGGAAUUCCUGGUGUAGGAGUGAAAUCCGUAGAUAUCAGGAGGAACACCGGUGGCGAAGGCGGCCACCUGGACAGGUACUGACGCUGAGGCACGAAAGCGUGGGGAGCAAACA
rnacentral:rRNA from 1 species